CGACCUCGGGCUGUACGGGACUACCCGGUGGAUUUAAGCAUAUUAAUAAGCGGAG
rnacentral:rRNA from 1 species